rnacentral:rRNA from 1 species
CCGGCGACCGGCGCACGGGUGAGUAACACGUAUGCAACCUGGCCGUGACAGAUGGAUAACUGGGAGAAAUCCCGCCUAAUACAACAUAAUGCCGGGAGGGGACAUCCCCUGCCGGCCAAAGGGGGCGACCCCGGUCACGGAUGGGCAUGCGGCGCAUUAGGUAGUUGGUGGGGCAACGGCCCACCAAGCCGACGAUGCGUAGGGGUUCUGAGAGGAAGGUCCCCCACAUUGGAACUGAGACACGGUCCAAACUCCUACGGAAGGCAGCAG